AGUGAACGCUGGCGGUAGGCCUAACACAUGCAAGUCGAACGGCAGCACAGUAAGAGCUUGCUCUUACGGGUGGCGAGUGGCGGACGGGUGAGGAAUACAUCGGAAUCUACUUUUUCGUGGGGGAUAACGUAGGGAAACUUACGCUAAUACCGCAUACGGCCUACGGGUGAAAGCAGGGGAUCUUCGGACCUUGCGCGAUUGAAUGAGCCGAUGUCGGAUUAGCUAGUUGGCGGGGUAAAGGCCCACCAAGGCGACGAUCCGUAGCUGGUCUGAGGGGAUGAUCAGCCACACUGGAACUGAGACACGGUCCAGACUCCUACGGGAGGCAGCAGUGGGGAAUAUUGGACAAUGGGCGCAAGCCUGAUCCAGCCAUACCGCGUGGGUGAAGAAGGCCUUCGGGUUGUAAAGCCCUUUUGUUGGGAAAGAAAAGCAGCAGGUUAAUACCCCGCUGUUCUGACGGUACCCAAAGAAUAAGCACCGGCUAACUUCGUG
rnacentral:rRNA from 1 species